CAGUACAAACCAAAAUAAGGUGAAACCGCGAAAGGCUCAUUAAAUCAGUCAUGGUUCCUUAGAUCGUACGCACAGUUACUUGGAUAACUGUGGUAAUUCUAGAGCUAAUACACGCAAACAGAGCUCCAACCAGAGAUGGAAGGAGUGCUUUUAUUAGAUCAAAACCAAUCGGCGGCAGGCACUACUUGUAGCUGUCUGUUCGUCGCCCUAUUUGGUGACUCUGAAUAACUUUAUGCUGAUCGCACGGUCUUGCACCGGCGACGCAUCUUUCAAAUGUCUGCCUUAUCAACUGUCGAUGGUAGGUUCUGCGCCUACCAUGGUUGUAACGGGUAACGGGGAAUCAGGGUUCGAUUCCGGAGAGGGAGCCUGAGAAACGGCUACCACAUCCAAGGAAGGCAGCAGGCGCGCAAAUUACCCACUCCCGGCACGGGGAGGUAGUGACGAAAAAUAACGAUACGGGACUCAUCCGAGGCCCCGUAAUCGGAAUGAGUACACUUUAAAUCCUUUAACAAGGACCAAUUGGAGGGCAAGUCUGGUGCCAGCAGCCGCGGUAAUUCCAGCUCCAAUAGCGUAUAUUAAAGUUGUUGCGGUUAAAAAGCUCGUAGUUGAAUUUGUGUUCCGUGCUGUCGGUUCACCGCCCGCGGUGCUAACUGGCACGUCUCACGGGACGUCCUGUCGGUGG
rnacentral:rRNA from 1 species